AACGAACGCUGGCGGCAUGCCUAACACAUGCAAGUCGAACGAGACCUUCGGGUCUAGUGGCGCACGGGUGCGUAACGCGUGGGAACCUGCCCUUAGGUUCGGAAUAACUCCCCGAAAGGGGUGCUAAUACCGGAUAAUGUCUUCGGACCAAAGAUUUAUCGCCUUUGGAUGGGCCCGCGUUGGAUUAGCUAGUUGGUAGGGUAAAAGCCUACCAAGGCGACGAUCCAUAGCUGGUCUGAGAGGAUGAUCAGCCACACUGGGACUGAGACACGGCCCAGACUCCUACGGGAGGCAGCAGUGGGGAAUAUUGGACAAUGGGCGAAAGCCUGAUCCAGCAAUGCCGCGUGGGCGAUGAAGGCCUUAGGGUUGUAAAGCUCUUUUACCCGGGAUGAUAAUGACAGUACCGGGAGAAUAAGCUCCGGCUAACUCCGUG
rnacentral:rRNA from 1 species